CGGUACCAAAAUGAGAGUAAUGCAUUUUGGAGAAAUAUUAUGGAUGUUAAAUAUGGGAGGAUAUGGAGGAGUUGGUGCACGAAUGAAGUUAGAGGGAUAUUUGGGGUGGGUUUGUGGAAGUCUACUCGGCUGGGAUGGGGGGACUUUGUCAAGAAUUCCAAAUUCAAGGUGGGGGAUGGGGCAAAGAUUUAUUUUUGGCAUGACACCUAGUGUGGGGAUUCUCCUCUUAAGGUUGUUUUUUUUUAAUUUUUUUUAUAAGUAAGAAAAGUUUUAUUUAAUGAAACUAGGCAAAGCCCA